GGUUAAGCGACUAAGCGUACACGGUGGAUGCCCUGGCAGUCAGAGGCGAUGAAGGACGUGCUAAUCUGCGAAAAGCGUCGGUAAGGUGAUAUGAACCGUUAUAACCGGCGAUGUCCGAAUGGGGAAACCCAGUGCAAUUCGUUGCACUAUCGUUAACUGAAUACAUAGGUUAACGAGGCGAACCGGGGGAACUGAAACAUCUAAGUACCCCGAGGAAAAGAAAUCAACCGAGAUUCCCCCAGUAGCGGCGAGCGAACGGGGAGCAGCCCAGAGUCUGAAUCAGCUUGUGUGUUAGUGGAACGGUCUGGAAAGUCCGACGGUACAGGGUGAUAGUCCCGUACACCAAAAUGCACAGGUUGUGAACUCGAAGAGUAGGGCGGGACACGUGGUAUCCUGUCUGAAUAUGGGGGGACCAUCCUCCAAGGCUAAAUACUCCUGACUGACCGAUAGUGAACCAGUACCGUGAGGGAAAGGCGAAAAGAACCCCGGCGAGGGGAGUGAAAAAGAACCUGAAACCGUGUACGUACAAGCAGUGGGAGCACCUUCGGGUGUGACUGCGUACCUUUUGUAUAAUGGGUCAGCGACUUAUAUUCUGUAGCAAGGUUAACCGUAUAGGGGAGCCGCAGGGAAACCGAGUCUUAACUGGGCGUUAAGUUGCAGGGUAUAGACCCGAAACCCGGUGAUCUAGCCAUGGGCAGGUUGAAGGUUGGGUAACACUAACUGGAGGACCGAACCGACUAAUGUUGAAAAAUUAGCGGAUGACUUGUGGCUGGGGGUGAAAGGCCAAUCAAACCGGGAGAUAGCUGGUUCUCCCCGAAAGCUAUUUAGGUAGCGCCUCGUGAACUCAUCUUCGGGGGUAGAGCACUGUUUCGGCUAGGGGUCAUCCCGACUUACCAACCCGAUGCAAACUACGAAUACCGAAGAAUGUUAUCACGGGAGACACACGGCGGGUGCUAACGUCCGUCGUGAAGAGGGAAACAACCCAGACCGCCAGCUAAGGUCCCAAAGUCAUGGUUAAGUGGGAAACGAUGUGGGAAGGCACAGACAGCCAGGAUGUUGGCUUAGAAGCAGCCAUCAUUUAAAGAAAGCGUAAUAGCUCACUGGUCGAGUCGGCCUGCGCGGAAGAUGUAACGGGGCUAAACCAUGCACCGAAGCUGCGGCAGCGACACUAUGUGUUGUUGGGUAGGGGAGCGUUCUGUAAGCCUGCGAAGGUGACCUGUGAGGGUUGCUGGAGGUAUCAGAAGUGCGAAUGCUGACAUAAGUAACGAUAAAGCGGGUGAAAAGCCCGCUCGCCGGAAGACCAAGGGUUCCUGUCCAACGUUAAUCGGGGCAGGGUGAGUCGACCCCUAAGGCGAGGCCGAAAGGCGUAGUCGAUGGGAAACAGGUUAAUAUUCCUGUACUUGGUGUUACUGCGAAGGGGGGACGGAGAAGGCUAUGUUAGCCGGGCGACGGUUGUCCCGGUUUAAGCAUGUAGGCUGGUUGUCCAGGCAAAUCCGGAUAAUCAAGGCUGAGGUGUGAUGACGAGGCACUACGGUGCUGAAGUAACAAAUGCCCUGCUUCCAGGAAAAGCCUCUAAGCAUCAGGUAACAUUAAAUCGUACCCCAAACCGACACAGGUGGUCAGGUAGAGAAUACCAAGGCGCUUGAGAGAACUCGGGUGAAGGAACUAGGCAAAAUGGUGCCGUAACUUCGGGAGAAGGCACGCUGGUGUGUAGGUGAAGUCCCUGCGGAUGGAGCUGAGACCAGUCGAAGAUACCAGCUGGCUGCAACUGUUUAUUAAAAACACAGCACUGUGCAAACACGAAAGUGGACGUAUACGGUGUGACGCCUGCCCGGUGCCGGAAGGUUAAUUGAUGGGGUUAUCCGUAAGGAGAAGCUCUUGAUCGAAGCCCCGGUAAACGGCGGCCGUAACUAUAACGGUCCUAAGGUAGCGAAAUUCCUUGUCGGGUAAGUUCCGACCUGCACGAAUGGCGUAAUGAUGGCCAGGCUGUCUCCACCCGAGACUCAGUGAAAUUGAACUCGCUGUGAAGAUGCAGUGUACCCGCGGCAAGACGGAAAGACCCCGUGAACCUUUACUAUAGCUUGACACUGAACAUUGAGCCUUGAUGUGUAGGAUAGGUGGGAGGCUUUGAAGCGUGGACGCCAGUCUGCGUGGAGCCAACCUUGAAAUACCACCCUUUAAUGUUUGAUGUUCUAACGUUGGCCCCUGACCGGGGUUGCGGACAGUGUCUGGUGGGUAGUUUGACUGGGGCGGUCUCCUCCCAAAGCGUAACGGAGGAGCACGAAGGUUAGCUAAUCCUGGUCGGACAUCAGGAGGUUAGUGCAAUGGCAUAAGCUAGCUUGACUGCGAGCGUGACGGCGCGAGCAGGUGCGAAAGCAGGUCAUAGUGAUCCGGUGGUUCUGAAUGGAAGGGCCAUCGCUCAACGGAUAAAAGGUACUCCGGGGAUAACAGGCUGAUACCGCCCAAGAGUUCAUAUCGACGGCGGUGUUUGGCACCUCGAUGUCGGCUCAUCACAUCCUGGGGCUGAAGUAGGUCCCAAGGGUAUGGCUGUUCGCCAUUUAAAGUGGUACGCGAGCUGGGUUUAGAACGUCGUGAGACAGUUCGGUCCCUAUCUGCCGUGGGCGCUGGAGAAUUGAGGGGGGCUGCUCCUAGUACGAGAGGACCGGAGUGGACGCAUCACUGGUGUUCGGGUUGUCAUGCCAAUGGCACUGCCCGGUAGCUAAAUGCGGAAGAGAUAAGUGCUGAAAGCAUCUAAGCACGAAACUUGCCCCGAGAUGAGUUCUCCCUGAGACUUUAAGUCUCCUGAAGGAACGUUGAAGACGACGACGUUGAUAGGCCGGGUGUGUAAGCGCAGCGAUGCGUUGAGCUAACCGGUACUAAUGAACCGUGAGGCUUAACCUU
rnacentral:rRNA from 1 species